rnacentral:rRNA from 1 species
UACGUAGGGUGCAAGCGUUAAUCGGAAUUACUGGGCGUAAAGCGUGCGCAGGCGGUUUUGUAAGCCAGAUGUGAAAUCCCCGGGCUUAACCUGGGAAUGGCAUUUGGGACUGCAAGGCUUGAGUUUGGCAGAGGAGACUGGAAUUCCUGGUGUAGCAGUGAAAUGCGUAGAUAUCAGGAGGAAUACCGAUGGCGAAGGCAGGUCUCUGGGCUGAAACUGACGCUCAUGCACGAAAGCGUGGGGAGCAAACAGG